rnacentral:lncRNA from 1 species
UAAACUGAUUAAAUCGUGUUCCAUGUUCUGUCAGUUAAUAGUGAGAAAAUAUGUUUUCGUGUUCACGCCUUUUCUUUGUUUGGAAUCAAAGCAGGAUUGUUUUGAAACAAACCAUAAAUAGCUCACCCAGAGGAGCUUAGAACAUGCUCCGCGGGUCCCAAUCCGUUUCUGGCAGUGGGUGCAGUCUUGGCUGAAUAUUAAAAUCGUUUAGGAACUUAAAAAAUCCCGAUGCCGGGAUCACACCCAGAGCAUUAAUGCAAAAUCUGUGGAGCUGGGACCAAGGCACAAUUACUUUUCCAGGCUCGCCAGGUGAUGCCAACCUGCACGUGGAAUGAAGAACCUAAGCCACGGGAUUGUAUCCCAGACUACAUUUCCCAGAAGCCUCAAAGGGCACUGCCGUUUCCGGCCUCGGCAGUCACCGUUUGAGCGGAGCGCGGCCUCCGCUUGCUUGUGGGUUUCGGCGGUAAACACAGCUUUGGGUGCUUGUGGCUGUUCUGCACGGAGCUUUGCGGCGGCGCCCUCCCAGCUCGGUGGAGAAUGGCUGCUGCCGGGGGACACAGACCUGCGCGCCGCCUUUCCUCGAGCGGCAGUUCAGGUGUGUGUAUUUGAAGCAAAGAUGUCAGCCCUAAAGCAAAAUACUGAGAGAUGUGAUUUGGGAGAACAAACAGAGUGUCAUGAUGGUAAGCAUCCUGUAUUGGGAAGGCAGAAGCUGCACAGAGAAGACACGCUAUAA